CCUGAAGCCAGAGGCCCACAUGCUUUUGUUUCAGUUCUUUGGAGGCAGAGGGAGUGCAAGAGUACUUUGGAUGGUUGAUAAGUGCGUGCCGGCCACCUUCCCGCCGUGUCGGGAGUCGCUUCCGGCGGCGAGACAUCCACCAAUCAACUCCUCUAUCCUUUCUCUAUUCGUUUCUGAUCCUUACUCAUCCUAACAACCAAUCACAACCCCUAAGCCUAAACCCUAGAAUAACUAAUCCAAAAUCAAAUGACAAUCAAGCUUAGUUUCAGUCAAGGAGCAAAGGGAUUUUGUUCUCUCGAGGAAAAUUGAGAUUUCUGUUAGUUUGGAGGAGAAGUUAGUUAGUUUAAAUUGAUUUUGGAGGGAAUGUGUUAGUAACUGAAUUGGGCAGCUAGGUCAGGUUAGUUAUGAUUUUAGGGCAGCGGGUUGAUAGGUAGUUAAUAGGAAGUCAGCUAGAGGAUAAUUUGUUAGCAAUUCAGUUGACCAUUUAACUGUUUUUUUUACAGUUAAUUUGGUUGAGUUAGUGUUAAUUCUGUUAGGAUCAAUUGCAAGUUUGUUGAAGUGGUUCAGAAUUGGUUAUGAGGAGUUAUUCAUUGGUCAAGUCAGUUUAGAAUUAGUUACAAGGUUUAAUAUAGUUAGGGUUAUAUUAGUUAGUUAGAGUGAGUCAAGUUUGUUAGAGGUGGUUUGGAGAGUUAGUUAAUAGUUAGUUUAAAAGUUCAUUAGAGUGGUAAGUAGGUUGUUAGGUGUUAGAAAUUCUGUUAGAGUUAGGUUAGUAUAGUGUUAGGAAGUUAGUAGUUUGGUUAUUUCUGUUUAUGGCCUUUAGAAAAACAGUUAAGGGUUUGUAUCAGUUAGGUUAAUUGUCAGUUGGAGGGUUAAUGGCAACAAUUAGAGUAAAGGUUAACUGACUAAGAGGUUUAUGACAGUUUGUUUGUGAAGCUGAAGUAUAGAUUCAAUUGAAAUUAGGCUAGUAGAGUAAAAUAAGGUUAGGGUAAGAUUGGAAGUUAGAUUAUUGUGAAGCUGGUUCAAUGCUCUUAGUGAGGUCAAUUGAAAUGGUGUAACAGGUCUGAAAUCUUCAAAACAACGUUGAUUGGUCUAUGUCGUGUACUACAUGAUGCCAAGUUACAAGGCUUAUGGAUCAUGAAGAACUUUGAGGCAUGAUGGAGUGGCCUUGAAGAAUUGAAAAGAAAUAGUCUAGGAAAGAGUGUCGAGUCAAGGUCGAAGGUCCUGGUUCAAAAAGUCAACUAUUGACCAUGAAGUCAACUUUUGAAUUUUGUAUUUUAUUCAAUGUGAUUUUCUUUUUCUUUUUUGUAUUAGCUUUUGCACUUGAAAUUUGAAUGUAUUUGGUUUUGUAACUUGUAACUCAACAUUUGAAUUAGAAAAAGAAGUUUUCCCUC